UAAGUCAAACAAAGUACAACUCCAUCUCGCAGAACUGUGAAAUGGGGAGGAAAGUCCUGACAUUAGAAAAAGGGAGGUAGCUCACGACUACUGGACGCAACUCAGCCAAAUGAAAGUGCCACAGAAACGAAAACUCCCUCGCAUUUACUGUGGGGAAAAGAUGCAACGUGAAGGUGUCUCGCAGACCUGCGGGACUACUUCUCCUCAGUUGAACUGCUAGUUCUUCGAGUGGUAAACCACUGCCUAAUGCAAGCCUAUCCUACAAUUUUGUAGGGAGGUGCAAGACAAGAGCUUUAAGCUCUUCUAGACAUAUCGUACUUGAAACACAGAAUCAGGCUUAUUGUUUGACGAGAUAG
rnacentral:RNase_P_RNA from 1 species